rnacentral:rRNA from 1 species
AUUGAACGCUAGCGGCAGGCUUUACACAUGCAAGUCGAACGAGUGGCGGACGGGUGAGUAAUGUCUGGGAACCUGCCUGAUGGAGGGGGAUAACUACUGGAAAUGGUAGCUAAUACCGCAUACUAUCAGAUGUGCCCAGAUGGGAUUAGCUUGUUGGUGGGGUAACGGCUCACCAAGGCGACGAUCCCUAGCUGGUCUGAGAGGAUGACCAGCCACACUGGAACUGAGACACGGUCCAGACUCCUACGGUAGGCAGCAGUGGGGAAUAUUGCACAAUGGGGGAAAGCCUGAUCCAGCCAUGCCGCGUGUAUGAAGAAGGCCUUCGGGUUGUAAAGUACUUUCGGCAGGGAGGCGUUACCCGCAGAAGAAGCACCGGCUAACUCCGUGCCAGCAGCCGCGGUAAUUC